CAGCGCUUCACAACCAGCUGGAUGCAGGCUUGGGGCUGUGCUACUCUGAAAGAAAUGCUAGGCAAAAGCUGUAGCCCCAGCAGGGAGCAUCUUCUCCAGCUCACCUGGCUCUGCAGGARAAUACAUGCAGUGCCUGCAUUCUCAAUAUACCAUGUUUGCAGCACUUCUUUCCAGUGGACGCAGAAGAUGUGCAGAAGCGACGCUCGAACAGUGGCUCUGUGGAGCUGAUGAGAGCUGGUUUCCAGCCCACACCCCGCAUGAGCAGCUUGAACAGCACAGUCUCUUCGGCCUGGCCUAGAAGAUCAAACUGCUGAGCCUGAGACUCUGGGCAGUGGAGUCCUGCUAAGUGAAAGCACUUUUUAAUGGGAAGUGAAUGGAACUCGUUAGCGUCUGCCAUUUUAUUAUGUAGGUUGAAAAUUACUUAUUAGCAUGGAUGCAUUCACUCUUCAUGCUGAUCAUUCAUAUGUUUUGCUAGAAGAGUACAAGUACAUUUAUCUCCAAGCCAAGGAGUAUCUUGUAUCUCUCUAAAUCACAUGGCUGCAGACAAAAAAAAAAAAAAAAGAAAAGAUGUGGGUACUCAGUAUGUUCUGAUUCCCUUGCCUUGGCAGUAGAAGUCG
rnacentral:lncRNA from 1 species